GCUGGCAUUAUGCAAGCCCUUGCCCAAAAGGGGGGUUUGCCUCAGAGCCAACCAGAGCACGUGAUUUACAGAGAUUCCACGUGAAUGAAGUAACGGCUUUCUCCAUUAAAGCUUUUUAUUAUAUAUGUUUAAUCAUCGAUUGCGCUUUUCCAAUUAUAAAGGUCAACCUUGAGCAAAACUAGGGCCAACGCCAACUUUUUUUACUGGACCAUCCAAAUCAAACUCAUCCCUUCAGUUUUAUUUCAAUUAAAAUUUAAUUAAUUUUGUUUCUUACAAUUAAAACCCAUAAAGUUCAUUUAUGCAUGCCGAAAAGAAGAAAAGAAAAGAAAAAAAAAAAAAAAAAAAAAAAAAAAAAAAAAAAAAACUCGAACUUAAAAGGAUUUAGGAAAAGUCUAGAAUUUGCAAUUAUUUAGAAGUAUUGUGGCUGUCUACAUCUUUUCUGGAUGGUUCAACACGUUAAACAUCCAUUCGAUCCUUUGAACAAAACCCCACUCUUCAAAAACGUAGUUCGUAGAAAAAUAUAGAAUCGACUUUUUGUGUGUCUCAUCAUUUCACCUUACCUAUUCAUAUACUAAUUAAUUUAAAAAUCUGUUUUUGAAAUGAUUAGUGUGAAUGUUAUUUUAUUAACAAAUUUUGUAACUCACCUUUGUAAAUGUA
rnacentral:lncRNA from 1 species